GACGGAGGGGGCUAGCGUUGUUCGGAAUUACUGGGCGUAAAGAGUGCGUAGGCGGUUUAGUAAGUUGGAAGUGAAAGCCCGAGGCUUAACCUCGGAACUGCUUUCAAAACUACUAAUCUAGAGUGUAGUAGGGGAUGAUGGAAUUCCUAGUGUAGAGGUGAAAUGCGUAGAUAUCGAGAGGAACACCUGCGGCGAAGGCGGGUUGCUGGGCCGACACUGACGCUGAUGCGCGAAAGCCAGGGGAGCGAACGGG
rnacentral:rRNA from 1 species